rnacentral:rRNA from 1 species
GACUGGAAAAGCCCAGCUUGAGAAUCGUGCCACUUUGUGCUUCGAAUUGUAGUCUGUAGAAGCAUCCUCUGCAGCGGACCGGGCCUAGGUUCUCUGGAAUGAGACGCCGGAGAGGGUGAGAGCCCCGUCCGGCUCGGACCCUGCUGUUUCACGAGGUGCUGUCGUAGAGUCGGGUUGUUUGGGAAUGCAGCCUCAAUUGGGUGGUAAAUCUCAUCUAAGGCUAAAUAUUGGCAAGAGACCGAUAGCGAACAAGUACCGCGAGGGAAAGAUGAAAAGGACUUUGAAAAGAGAGUUAAAAGUGCUUGAAAUUGCUGGGAGGGAAGCGAAUGGAUGCCUUGUGUGCUUCCCGGUUGUGGUGGGACGGCUUGCUGGCCUGCCGAAACAACUUGGGUGGCUAGCCAGCGUUGGCAAUGGUGGUGGGACAAGUGCGGGUGGCUUUCGCAGCUUCUUGCCCAUGCUACUGCCAUUGCCAGGGCCACAAGGGUGCGCCACCUGGUGGCGGGCCUUCGGGCACCUGCACCCUUUGGAUGCUGGCAUGUGGGGUUUUCCAUCCGACCCGUCUUGAAACACGGACCAAGGAGUCUAACAUGUAUGCGAGUUGGUGGGUGCAAAACCCAUGAGGCGAAAGGAAACUGAGUCGUGGGAUCCCUCGUGCAGGGUGCACCACGGACCGACCAUGAUCUUCUGUGAAAGGUUCGAGUGUUAGCAUAUGUGUUGGGACCCGAAAGAUGGUGAACUAUGCCUGAGCAGGGCGAAGCCAGAGGAAACUCUGGUGGAGGCUCGUAGCGAUACUGACGUGCAAAUCCUUCGUCAGACUUGGGUAUAGGGGCGAAAGACUAAUCGAACCAUCUAGUAGCUGGUUCCCUCCGAAGUUUCCCUCAGGAUAGCUGGAGCUCUCGUGAGUUUUAUCGGGUAAAGCGAAUGAUUAGAGGCAUUGGGGGUGAAACACCCUCGACCUAUUCUCAAACUUUAAAUAGGUAAGAAGCCAGGGUUGCUCCAUGAACCCUGCAAGGAA